UUCUAUUAGAAAUAAUUAAUAGUAAAAUCUGCUCAAUGAAAUUUAAAUAGCCGCUAUUUUAGUGCUAAGGUAGCAUAAUAAUUUGUCUUUUAAUUAAAGACUAGUACAAAAGAUUUAACUUUUUAAAUUAUUUCUUUAUUUAAAAAAUUACAAAUUAUCUUAAACGUAAAAAGACGUUUAUUAAUAAGAAAGACGAUAAGACCCUUUUAAACUUUACUUUAGUUAAACUGGGGAAGUUAAUUAAAUAUUACUUUAAUAUAAAUUUUUACAAAAAUUUGACCCAAUAAAAUUGAUUAAUUAAUCAAGUUACUAUAGGGAUAACAGCGUAAUUAUUUUUUAUAGCCCGUAUUCUAAAAAUAGUUUGCGACCUCGAUGUUGAAUAAUUACCUUAAUUACGCAAUAGUAAUUAAAGGAAGUCUGUUCGACUUUUAAUUUAUUACA
rnacentral:rRNA from 1 species